CAGUCGCCGCGGUAAUACGAAGGGUGCAAGCGUUAAUCGGAAUUACUGGGCGUAAAGCGUGCGUAGGCGGUGAGUUAAGUCUGCUGUGAAAUCCCCGGGCUCAACCUGGGAAUGGCAGUGGAUACUGGCUCGCUAGAGUGUGUCAGAGGAUGGUGGAAUUCCCGGUGUAGCGGUGAAAUGCGUAGAGAUCGGGAGGAACAUCAGUGGCGAAGGCGGCCAUCUGGGACAACACUGACGCUGAGGCACGAAAGCGUGGGGAGCAAACAGGAUUAGAUACCCAGUAGUCCCUGUCUCUUAUACA
rnacentral:rRNA from 1 species